rnacentral:rRNA from 1 species
AUUGAACGCUGGCGGCAGGCCUAACACAUGCAAGUCGAGCGGGGGUAGCAAUACCCUAGCGGCGGACGGGUGAGGAAUGCAUCGGAACGUGCCGAGUAGUGGGGGAUAACGCAGGGAACUUGCGCUAAUACCGCAUACGCCCCGAGGGGGAAAGUGGGGACCGCAAGGCCUCACGCUAUUUGAGCGGCCGAUGCCCGAUUAGCUAGUUGGUGAGGUAAAGGCUCACCAAGGCACGAUCGGUAGCUGGUCUGAGAGGAUGAUCAGCC